rnacentral:tRNA from 1 species
CAGGGAGACAAAACUGAUUAUGAUGUCUAGGUAACAUAUUCUUAGGCCAUAGUCCUGUCACCUUAGGUCGAUCGGUACCUCAGAUUUUUUACUUAAUUAAUAUUUUUGAUUAAGGAUUAAUUUCAGUUCCUAAACUUUGUCUAGGUCACACCCAACAAGGGUUUCUCCUGGGCCAUUAGCUCAGGUGGUUAGAGCGCACCCCUGAUAAGGGUGAGGUCCCUGGUUCAAGUCCAGGAUGGCCCAUUCGUUGUUGGGGGUAUAGCUCAGUUGGUAGAGCGCCUGCUUUGCAAGCAGGAUGUCAGCGGUUCGAGUCCGCUUACCUCCACUGAUCACCUCCUGAUAACCAAUUUAAUGGAGAAGGUUUUUUGGCAUGUGAUCUAGAUUGUCUAUCUGAAAAGAACCUAGCUUCUUGUCAUUAUUUUUAGAGAUUGAUAAGACGCUGGGCUCUAUGGGAAAUUUUUCCAUUGAUUUCAGUAGAACCUUGACAACUGCAUAGUAAAAGUCUGAAUAACAAAGCAUCUCAUGGAUGCAUAGUUUUCAAUUGAGAAAUAUUGACUCAUAAAAAAGUCAAUAUGGAUUUAUUAAAAACUCAUAUUUAAUUCUUGAGUAAAAGCCGAGCACAAUUGAUUUUGUGAUUGUAUUUAA